GACGAACGCUGGCGGCGUGCUUAACACAUGCAAGUCGAACGCUGAAGCACCAGCUUGCUGGUGUGGAUGAGUGGCGAACGGGUGAGUAAUACGUGAGUAACCUGCCCUUGACUCUGGGAUAAGCCCGGGAAACUGGGUCUAAUACUGGAUGCUACAUGUCACCGCAUGGUGGUGUGUGGAAAGGGUUUACUGGUCUUGGAUGGGCUCACGGCCUAUCAGCUUGUUGGUGAGUUAAUGGCUCACCAAGGCGACGACGGGUAGCCGGCCGGAGAGGGUGACCGGCCACACUGGGACUGAGACACGGCCCAGACUCCGACGGGAGGCAGCAGUGGGGAAUAUUGCACAAUGGGCGAAAGCCUGAUGCAGAGGCGCCGCGGGAGGGAAGACGGUCUUCGGGUUGGAAAACUCGUUCAGCAGGGAAGAAGCCACAAGUGACGGUACCUGCAGAAGAAGCGCCGGCUAACUACGUG
rnacentral:rRNA from 1 species